rnacentral:lncRNA from 1 species
AACACAUCUAAAAAUGUUGAAGUAAAGGAGCGUUAUCACACUGACUGUCAAGACAAUCCUCUGGUCUUCACAUGCAUGACACUAAGACAACACACUGUGUUUUGGUAUAUUUUAUUAAAAUUUCUGCUGUACACACAAUAUUGCAAAAGUUGAGACAAUGAACACAAGAUGGGUAAAACAACAUACUAAGAUGGUGAUUGUAGAUGUUUGUAGGAAAGGCGUGUGUCGGAGAGGCGUGUGUCGGGGAGGGAGAGGCGUGGUCGGAGAGGGUUGUGUCGGGGAGGGAGAGGCGUUGUGUUUGUGCCGGGAGAUGAGUGCGUCGGGAGAGGCGUUUCUGUUUUGUGUGGGAGAUGUCGUGUGU